rnacentral:rRNA from 1 species
UACGAAGGGGGCUAGCGUUGCUCGGAAUCACUGGGCGUAAAGCGCACGUAGGCGGCUUUUUAAGUCAGAGGUGAAAUCCUGGAGCUCAACUCCAGAACUGCCUUUGAUACUGGAGAGCUUGAGUCCGGGAGAGGUGAGUGGAACUGCGAGUGUAGAGGUGAAUUCGUAGAUAUCGCAAGAACACCAGUGGCGAAGGCGGCUCACUGGCCCGGUACUGACGCUGAGGUGCG